UCUCCGUAGGUGAACCUGCGGAGGGAUCAUUACAGAGUUUUUGCCCGCAAGGGUAGAUCUCCCACCCUAUGUUAUUCCUUCUCUGUUGCUUUGGCGGGCCGUCCGGCCUCGGUCAGGCCACCGGCUCCGGCUGGUGCGCGCCCGCCAGAGGACCCCAAACCCUAAAUGUCAGUGUCGUCUGAGUACUAUAUAAUAGUUAAAACUUUCAACAACGGAUCUCUAGGUUCUG
rnacentral:misc_RNA from 1 species